GACGAACGCUGGCGGCGUGCUUAACACAUGCAAGUCGAACGAGAGCGUAGAGAAAGCUUGCUUUUUCUACAAUCUAGUGGCAAACGGGUGAGUAACGCGUAAACAACCUGCCCUACGGAUGGGGGCAACAGCUGGAAACGGCUGCUAAUACCGAAUACGUUCCGAAAGUCGCACGACUAUCGGAAGAAAGGAUGGCCUCUAUUUAUAAGCUAUCGCCGGAGGAGGGGUUUGCGUCUGAUUAGCUAGUUGGAGGGGUAACGGCCCACCAAGGCGACGAUCAGUAGCCGGUCUGAGAGGAUGAACGGCCACAUUGGAACUGAGACACGGUCCAGACUCCUACGGGAGGCAGCAGUGGGGAAUCUUCCGCAAUGGGCGAAAGCCUGACGGAGCAACGCCGCGUGAGUGAAGACGGCCUUCGGGUUGUAAAGCUCUGUUAUACGGGACGAAUAAUCUUGUGGUUAAUACCCAUGAGAAGUGACGGUACCGUAAGAGAAAGCCACGGCUAACUACGUG
rnacentral:rRNA from 1 species